rnacentral:rRNA from 1 species
UACGUAGGGGGCAAGCGUUGUCCGGAAUUAUUGGGCGUAAAGGGCGCGUAGGCGGAUCGUUAAGUCCGGUGUGAAAGAUCAGGGCUCAACCCUGAGAGUGCAUCGGAAACUGAAGAUCUUGAGGACAGGAGAGGAAAGUGGAAUUCCACGUGUAGCGGUGAAAUGCGUAGAUAUGUGGAGGAACACCAGUGGCGAAGGCGACUUUCUGGACUGUAACUGACGCUGAGGCGCGAAAGCGUGGGGAGCAAACAGG